rnacentral:rRNA from 1 species
UACAGAGGGUGCGAGCGUUGUUCGGAAUUAUUGGGCGUAAAGCGCUUGUAGGCGGCUUGUUAAGUUCCGUGUGAAAUCCCCAGGCUUAACCUGGGGAAGUGCGCGGAAAACUGGCGAGCUUGAGUGCCGGAGAGGGUCGCGGAAUUCCCGGUGUAGAGGUGAAAUUCGUAGAUAUCGGGGAGGAACACCAGUGGCGAAGGCGGCGACCUGGA